rnacentral:rRNA from 1 species
CAGCCGCCGCGGGAAAACGGAGGGUGCGAGCGUUAAUCGGAAUUACUGGGCGUAAAGCGUACGCAGGCGGUUUGUUAAGUCAGAUGUGAAAUCCCCGAGCUUAACUCGGGAACUGCAUUUGAAACUGGCAGGCUAGAGUCUCGUAGAGGGGGGUAGAAUUCCAGGUGUAGCGGUGAAAUGCGUAGAGAUCUGGAGGAAUACCGGUGGCGAAGGCGGCCCCCUGGACGAAGACUGACGCUCAGGUACGAAAGCGUGGGGAGCAAACAGGAUUAGAUACCCGGUAGUCCCUGUCUCUUAUACA